rnacentral:rRNA from 1 species
UACGUAGGCAGCAAGCGUUGUUCGGAGUUACUGGGCGUAAGGGUGUGUAGGCGGUCUACUAAGUCUGGUGUGAAAUCUCCCGGCUCAACUGGGAGGGUGCGCCGGAAACUGGAAGGCUAGAGUGCGGGAUGGGAGAGUGGAAUUCCUGGUGUAGCGGUGAAAUGCGUAGAUAUCAGGAGGAACACCUGUGGUGUAGACGGCUCUCUGGACCGCAACUGACGCUGAGACACGAAAGCGUGGGUAGCAAACAGG